rnacentral:lncRNA from 1 species
UCCUAGUUAUAAUCAAUUAUUCAUACUACUAUACGUACUAAAUUUUUGUUUUAGAGGUCGUAAUACCUUGCCAUCUCUGAAUUAUGACUUAAGCAUAAGACUUUGUAUGGUAGGGUGUUACAUUAUGGUAUCAGAGAAGUUCGUUCCUGUAGAGCCUGAGGAAUGGACUGACUAUGCUUCUGUGCAUUCUUUGUGUGUGUGUUAUGUGCUACUAGUAUAUCUGCUUGAUAUAAUUGGCAUAAACGUUCAUGAGCAUGCAUUUGGGACUUUGAAGCACUAGACUUCCGAUAUUGAGACUGAUCAACUUAAUAUUGAUUGUUUGGUGUGUAUA